AUGGAGGUUUUUGUACGACGGCUCAAUGACUUUGUAUCACUGUGGUGGACGUUUGGUGGAGGAACCAGACUGGAUGUUGGAAGUGAUGCCCGUCCCACCCUGACGGUGCUGCCCCCCUCCAGUGAGGAGCUGCAGCAGGAGAAGGUCACAGUCCUGUGCCUGGCCAACAAGGGCUUCCCCUCAGACUGGAGUCUGGCCUGGAAGGUGGAGGGCAGCAGCAGCAGCAGCAGCUGGGAGGAGAGCAGGAGCCCCGGGGUGCUGGAGAAGGACGGCCUCUACAGCUGGAGCAGCACCCUGAGGGUCCCUGCAGACCAGUGGAGCAAGCUGGACUCUGUGACCUGUGAGGCCACCCAGAGCUCCCAGACUCCGCUCUCAGAGACACUGAGGAGAGACCAGUGUUUCCAGUCCUGACCGGACUCACCAGGACUCUGCUACUGGUUUUACUCUGCUCUCUGUAACAGUCUCUCUCUCUCUUUCUCUCUCUCUCUCUCUCUCUCUCUUUCUCUCCCUCUAUCUCUUUCUUUCGUUGUCUUAGCUGGUUUUCUGUAAUGUUUCUUGUUUCACUAUUUGCAGAAAAUAAAGAUCUGUUCAUCAAAUAAA